rnacentral:rRNA from 1 species
UACAGAGGUGGCAAGCGUUGUUCGGAAUUACUGGGCGUAAAGGGCGCGUAGGCGGCCGCCUAAGUCAGACGUGAAAUCCCCAAGCUUAACUUGGGAACUGCGUCUGAUACUGGGUGGCUUGAGUUCGGGAGAGGAAUGUGGAAUUCCAGGUGUAGCGGUGAAAUGCGUAGAUAUCUGGAGGAACACCGGUGGCGAAGGCGGCAUUCUGGACCGAAACUGACGCUGAGGCGCGAAAGCGUGGGGAGCAAACAGG